ACAUACUUAUUUUUUGUUUAGGUCAAGGUACUCUUUUGGUAUCAGGGACACAUUAGAGGAGUGGUAUUGAUUUCAGUUUCAUCACCAAAUGUUAAACUACUGUCAAACUACUGUCACCCAAAUAGAAUGGAAGUAAUUCAAUAUGCUGCAGUUGAAAUCUGUUCUAAAAUGGUAUCUUUUUGCACAACCAUACUUUACUGCCAGUGAAAACAGGUAAAUCUUCUUUCUAUACUUCCCCUUAUUUAGAUCUUAGCAUAAUUCAAAUAAAAUACAUGCAAACAAGUUUAUGACCUUCCCAAUCUUUUUUUUUUUUUUUUUUUUUUUUUUUUUUUUUUGUUAAAGCAAGAGCAAAAGGUACUUUAUUCCAGCAAAAAGGUCAAAGCACCAGUGUUUCAAAGCAUACCAGAACACUUUGCUUGGAAAUUCUGAAUAAUGUGCAGAUAGAAUCCAAUGAAAGUACCUCUAACUGUAUGGAGUGGAGCAGAGCCAAAGAACUUUGAUUAUAAAAGUUCUACACUAACAAAAGGCAAAAAUGAGUCUGAUGGCUGAAGUGGUGCUGGCUGAGUAGGGAUGGGUGGGCACUGGCAGCACCAGGAGCCCGCAGCUGGGGUGACAGCCCCUAUCCCCACGCGAUUAGAGCACCUGCCUGCUGAAACAUUUAACUCUUACUUGAAAUCAGUGUAACGCAGAUAUGUGGAGUAUUGGACAACUAGCAAGGAGUUUUGCUAAACAGCAAUGACUUGGAGCAACAGCUGAAUAAAUUUAUUUGCUUGAAACUAGAAUUUGACA
ensembl:lncRNA